rnacentral:rRNA from 1 species
UAGGGAAUCUUCGGCAAUGGACGGAAGUCUGACCGAGCAACGCCGCGUGAGUGAAGAAGGCUUUCGGAUCGUAAAGCUCUGUUGUUAGAGAAGAACGUUGGUAGGAGUGGAAAAUCUACCAAGUGACGGUAACUAACCAGAAAGGGACGGCUAACUACGUGCCAGCAGCCGCGGUACUACGUAGGUUCCGAUCGUUGUCCGGCUUUAUUGGGCGUAAAGCGAGAGCAGGCGGUUCUUUCAGUCUGGAGUUAAAGGCAGUGGCUUAACCAUUUUACUCUUUGGAAACUGGAGUACUUGAGUGCAGAAGGGGGGAGUAGCAUUCCCUGUGUAGCGGUGAGAUGCGUUGAUAUAUAGAAGCACACCGGUGGCGGAAGCGGCUCUCUGGUCUGUCACUGACGCUGAGGCUCGAAGGCGUGGGGAGCAAACAGG